AUUAAAAACCAAUGCCCUUCGGGGCUCUCUGGUGAUUCAUAAUAACUUCUCGAAUCGCACGGCCUUGUGCCGGCGAUGGUUCAUUCAAAUUUCUGCCCUAUCAACUUUCGACGGCUGGGUCUUGGCCAGCCGUGGUGACAACGGGUAACGGAGGGUUAGGGCUCGACCCCGGAGAAGGAGCCUGAGAAACGGCUACUACAUCCAAGGAAGGCAGCAGGCGCGCAAAUUACCCAAUCCCGACACGGGGAGGUAGUGACAAUAAAUACUGAUACAGGGCUCUUUCGGGUCUUGUAAUUGGAAUGAGUACAAUUUAAAUCCCUUAACGAGGAACAAUUGGAGGGCAAGUCUGGUACCAGCAGCCGCGGUAAUUCCAGCUCCAAUAGCGUAUAUUAAAGUUGUUGAGGUUAAAAAGCUCGUAGUUGAACCUUGGGCCUAGCCGGCCGGUCCGCCUCACCGCGUGCACUGGCUCGGCUGGGUCUUUCCUUCUGGAGAACCGCAUGCCCUUCACUGGGUGUGCC
rnacentral:rRNA from 1 species